UGCUGAGUGCUUAACAGGAGGCCUCUCAGGGAUGCCGCGAGACGCAGAGUAACAAGCGCAAAAGAGCAAUGAGCCGGGUCCUCUGGCUGCAGGCUCUGCGAGAGCCGUUGACAAGAAAGGGAAAUGUCUGAGCUUGUGGAACUCCCAGCUUCACUCCUGCCACUGCUGCUGCUGUGAAGAGCCACCCAGUAGCUGAGGAUGUAAGGGGGUAUCUGAGAUUUCUCCAUCACCUUUCAGCACUCCCCACCCUCAGCUUCCCUUUGGUGGGUACCCGCAAAGGGCAGGUGGAAUCAGCUUCUAGAAUGUCCAGGACUGUGAGUUGGAUUUCCUAGGAAACAGACUUGGGGUGGAGCUUUGUGGGCAGGUAGGUUGUUGGAAUGUGCUCUCAGGACCAACACUGUAGGGGAAUGGAGGAAACAGGGUGACAGAGAGAGAAGGUGUAUUGUGAUGCAGUCACCACAAAGGCCUCAGCUCUGAAGCUGGGGGGCGGGGGCUCCCUCCAGAGAUGUCUCAAGUUGAGGCUGGGGGCCAGGCUCCUGAACCCUCAUGUCAGUUGUAUCCUCGCUGACCAGCAAGGGGCAUAACUCAGGCCCUGUGCACGGGUGUGGUUAGCAGGUAUCUUAUCCGAACACAGCCCCAUACAGCAGCAUUCAAUGAGGUCGCUGUUCAUCAGGAUUCCCAUCUCCAUCCUGUUUGGCUGGACACCCAAGGUAGGUCUGUUUACAAGGCAAAAAGUGUGCUAGAUGCAGUUUUAUUUUUAAUUGCCCAAACUCUGAAGUAACUAAGAUGUCCUUCAGUAGGUGAAUGGAUAAAUAAACUGUGGAUAAAUAAUAGACAAUGGACUAUUAUUCAGGACUAAAAAGAAAUGAGCUAUCAAGCCAUAAAAAGACGUGGAGGAAACUUAAAUGCAGUAAAAGAAGCCAAACCAAAAAGGCUGCAUACAGUAGGAUUCCAGCUAUCUGACAUUCUGGAAAAGGCCAGACUAUGCAGACAGUAAAAAGAUCUGUGGUUGCCCAGGGCUAGUGGGGAGGGAGGAGUGGAUAGGCAGAGCACAGGGGAUGUUUUAGGGCAGUGAAACUAUCUUGUCUGAUACUAGGAUGGUGGAUACACGUCAUUAUGCAUUUUUUUCUAAUCCAUAGAACCUACAACACCCAGCAUGAGCCCGAAUGUAAACUGUGGAAUCUGGGUGAUAAUGACGUGUCACUGAAGGUUCAUCUGUUGUAACACAUGCGCCCACUGGUGCAGGAGGAACAUAGUCGGGGAGGGUGUGCAUGUGUGGAGGAAGGGCAGAUAUGGGAACUUUCUGAACUUCCUGUUCAAUUUUUCUGUGAACUUAAAAUUUCUUUAAAAAAAUAAAUUCUAGUUUAAAAAAGGCAGCCAGAUGAAUGAGUGAUGGAUUUAUGUGAUGGUCUUAUGUGGACCCUGUGAGAGGCAGCACAUCCAGGGAGUGAGCAGGCAACGUGAAAGCCUUGAUGAUGGGCCUAGCUUUCCCAACCUUUUCUUGAAAAGAAUCAACUCAGGAAAAAUUUUAAAAGGUUAUAGCCAUACCUUUUUUUUUUUUUAAUCAUUCAAAAUGAAAGUAGCUCCUUCUGGGGCACCUGGCUGGCUCAGUCUGUUGAACACGCGACUCUUGAUCUCAGGGUCGUGAGCCCAUGUUGGGGGUUGAGUUUACUUAAAUGAAAAAUAAAAAGCCACUCCCCUCCUCCAAAAAAAAUUAAAGAAAAUAGCUCCUUUUGGACUCCGAUAAGUGAAAAUCAUAUUCUUAUAACCGAGAUGGUCCAUUUUACUGAAAAAGAUGUCAAUAACAAAAUUGGCACUAACCAAACUUUUUAAGUUUGAUUAUGUGAUCAUUUUAGAAAGUAGCCACAUAGAGGCAGGUAUCUAAUUUUUUAAACCGAGGUCAGAGAACUGGCUCCUGACACGCAGUGGAUUGCAGUUAGUUCAGUGGACCUGCCAUCGUGCUUACACUCGUGUUUUCACACAGCGUGGGGAAGCCCAAUCACAACUUCAGUAGGGAGGGAUCGAAGGCUCAUGGGAGCUACUGGGAACCAAUGUGGUUAAAGCUGUAUUUUGUGAAGAUUAAUGCGUCAGCUGUGACCAGAAUAGAUUCAACUGGGGAGGCAAAGAAAUCUAUUACAUGAUGUUAUCACAACGAUGGGAGGCGACAAGGACCCAAAGUCUGGGGAGAACCAUAGCAUGCAAGAGAAGAGUAUGAGAUGUAAGGAGAAGUGAAAAGUCCAGGCAGGGGAGGAGCAUAGUGGAAGCUGGGCAUGGAGUGUGGGUAGAGGGCCUUCUCCCUUGGGAGGUGUGGUGUAAGGCCUAAAAUGAAGACUCGGUAUUAUGUGCAGCCUUGACAACUGGUAAAAUCAAGAGAGGCUCAAAUGGCCUAACUGCAAGUUCCCAUCCCCACUCUGCUCCUACAGGUUGGAGUCUCUUGGCAAACAACCCUCCUUAUCAGAGGGACCAGCUUAUCCCUGAGAAGUGGGUUCCAGCUCCCUACCAGCCCACAGUACGAUUCAAACAAGCCAGUCACUAUCAGGGGUUGUUCCUCUCUCUUGAUACCACAAAGACUGCUUCCCACAGCCCUGGUUUUUCGCUCUGUUACCGAGUGCAGCCCCUGAGUGGUCCUGCAUGGCAUGCACUAUCUUUCUUCCCUGGGCCAUGAGUCUGUGUGGCUCUGGGUGUAUAUGUAUUUGGUGUCCCCUAUUCAGUCAUCUCCACAACCAUACGCAGGAAUCCUCCCUCAGCAGCCGGGUGAAUAAGAAGUGAUUCAAACAGGAGGCAGCAUGACCUGAGGCCCAGGCCAGUUUCACACACAGACACAGAGAAUUUCAAAGCUGGAUAAACCUGUCUCACCCUGGAAAUAAGGAAACAGACCUGGAGGCCAAGGUUCUGCGUCCCUAUACCUUUUCCAUGCCUCACCAGCAGGAUUUGAAAGCUCUCAGCCCCAUCCCUCCUAUGAUUCAGCAAGUGCCUGGAGGGGACAAGAGCCCCAUGCUGGCUCUCCCCUCAGUGCAUUUCCUGUCUCUCUGGACCCUGGUCCUACUUGCUGUCUGCAGUGGUAACUCUGAUGACUUCAAACAGAUGGAUCUUUUCAAAAAAUCCAGCUAUUCUGGUUGUUUAGUGGAGUUGGUCUAAUACAAGCUGAUUGUUUAGCCAGAGUGGAAAUCCAAUUAAUAAAACAUUUAUUAAAUAUCUAUUAUCUGCUCAGUAUCGUGGCGCUUCAGUCCAUAAAAAAAUAAAAGACAUGUUCCCAGCCUUGCACUCACAUGGGGAGAAAGGACAACAUAGGGAACAGUUUGAGCACACUACAGAAAGAGAACACCAUUGGGAGAGAAGGAGACACGAGAGCGAGCUGGAGUCAUCAAAGGCUUUUUUGUUCCUCCACUCCCACACCAGAAAGAUAAUGAAGUCUCCCUAGCAGUCCGUAUUCAUGUGCGUGCAGGUGGAUGUGUUUCUGUGCACAGAAAUGCACUUUUAGAUGGAGAGAUGGAGUCCGGAUGGGGAGCCUGAGGCCAGAGCAGCGUGUGACAGAGAGCGUGCGUGUCGUCUCAGCCAGACCCACACCGAGGCAUGCAUGCGUCAGCACCAGCCCUACUUUCCUUUUCUCGCUUUGUCUCUCACUUUCCUAUCCAUUCCUUUCCUGCCUUGGAAGCCAAACUAUAAUGAGAUACUUCUAUUGAAAUGAGCAGAAGAAUUUGCCUCCAAAUGAUCUGUUGAGGCAAAAAACAUUGUAAUUCUGCAUCAUCUCAAUAUUCACCCAUGAGGCAGGACUAUUUUCCUGUUUGACAAGUUUAAAUGUAAGCAGAGAGUUGAAGUCACAGCAUGGCUGAGAAGAGUUGCUACUCCAAAACGGUCACCCUUUCCUCCAAACGCAGGCUAAGCCCUGUGCCCAGACCUUUUCAAACAAAGGGGGCUUUCUGUCUUUCAUCUCUCCCUUUCAUCUCUUUCAUCUCUCUGACUCCCCUCCUAAUCACCUUUCUGCAAGGUGUACUGGAAGGUGAUAUUUAAUGAGCUCUCCCUGUCUCUGUAACUCAGCUUACAAGUUUCCCUGAAGCAACAGGACCUUUUAUUUUGGUUGAUGUCAAAGCCUCAGAAGAACACGAAGAUUGCAAAUGGUUCAUGUGUGAGCAGAGUGCUAGCUUUUCUAUUAGGAAAACAAAAACAACUGUCUGAACCAUGACUCCGCUUUGCAGCUUCAUUCCCCUAGGUCUGAGAGAUGGCCAAGGAGUACACACUCUUCAGACGGAAGGAGGAGGCCAACAGGAAACAUGGUGGGGGCUUGGGGAAAAUGAACUGAAACUUGGAGGAUUUUCUGGAUGGCUACGUGGACCCUUCCAGUUAUUUUCAUUUAACCGCAUAUGGCCCACUGACCCCCAGGUGUGGUAUUUUCAACUCAUUGCACUGAACUCUUUACUCACAGAUAAGCCUGUUGCUGAUCUCUGGAGCAGAGAAGGUCUUUCUCUGUGGUAAUGGCUGAGGGGGACAAAGGCUUCCCAGCAGGAAGGCUCAGCAGUUCUGCUGUUUGAGAAAGAGACCCAGCUGAGCUGCUGCUUUGGCUCUCUGCACAACAGCAAGUAGUGUCUUAAGCCAGAGUGACUUCUGAGGAGGGUCAGAAGAAAAUGUCAGAUGGGGUUGCAGCUUGCAAGAAGGAGUGCAGAGUGGGGAGUGGGGAGGGAAGAGGAGAGACAGAAACAAGGAGGUGCAGAGUGUGAACGAGUUUUUGUUCUCCCAUCGGGAUGAUGGGCAGGUUCUUUAAAACCAAGUCACUAUUUUCACCCUCUCCAAUAAGACUAUUUCCUUUGAGGGAUGAUACCAAGUGAGACCAAUGUCAUGUGGUCAAAAGGCAGAAUGAAACUGGAAGUAACUUGCCCACUGUUUAGUCGAGUCUGCUGUUGAGGAAGCAAGACAUAGCCCAGUCCAGCCAUACAAACAGAGAAAAAGUAAUCCCCUAAUAUUAAGGGUUAAAUGGCAGUCCCCCCAAAAUGUGAAGUCCUAACCUCCAGUACCUCAGAAUAUAACCUUAUUUAGUGAUAGGGUUUGACAGAGGUAAUCCAGUUAAAAUGAGGCCAUUAGGAUGGCUCUAUAUGAUGAUGUCCUUAUAAAAAGAGGAAAUUUAGAGAAAGACACAUAUACAGGACGCCAUCUGAGGUUGAAAGCAGAGAUUGAGGUGAUGCUUCUAUAAGCCAAAGGAACCCCAAAGAUUGCCAGCAAAGCACCAGAAGCUAGGAGAGAGACAUGAAACAGAUUAAUCACAGCCCUUAGAAGCAGCCAGUCCUGCCAACAUCUUGAUCUAGGAUUUCUAGCCUCCAGAACUAUGACACAAUAAAGUUCUGUUGUUUAAGCUACCCAGUUUGUGGGGCUUUGUAACAGUAGCCCUAGCGAACUAUUAUACCCCGUCUGGUGUCCAACUCUAAUUGCCAGACAUUUUUCCCUUGGUGAUUGCAAUCAUCUUCCUUUUAGUACAGAAACAGAUAAAUUGAAGGACUGUGAAAUUAAAAAAAAAAAAAAAAAGAUUGGACUAUAGACACUGUGGUUAGUCUUUUAUAAACAAAUUCCCAGGAAAGAUUUGUUAGGAAAAUGAAAACCAUAUGGCUGGCACAUUAUCUGAUUUUCUUCAUCAUAACUAUUCCCUAGCAGUUAAAUAUUAGUGAGGGAGAUGGGAAAUGUUGGUUUGGUAAAUGGGUGGUGGAAGAUUUUGAAGAUGCUACAACAGUAAGAGAACAGCUAUUAUAAAGUGACAAGAGGAAGAAGUAAAGAAAUGUAGAAGUCGAUAAAGAGGCAGUCUACAGGUGAAAUGCAAUGAACCAUAAUAACGAGUAAUCCUCAAAGAAUGAGAUGUUUGGAUCUAUGUAUUGUUAUAUGUUGUAUAAUAUAGAUACAUAUUCACUUGCUACCUCCUCAUUCUAGAAAUCAGGUGUGUUUUUAGAUGUAAUCAAGAACACACAGUGAAGUUUGGGUAAGCGCAUUUGUGAGAGAUGGACCAAGCAAGGAGGCAAGAGCUAAAGAGAUGCUGUUUAAUUUGUUCGUAGAAUCCUUCUCCUGAAGUUGUAACAUCCAGAAGUGAACCCUCUCAGUGUCCAUGUCCUCACUUCCUUUCCAGAUGGUAUCAUAGAACAGACUUGUGUGUAGUCAGGCUCCCAGAAUCCGGAGGAACUUCUUGCUGCCCUUGUGUAUAUCCCCAGUGGUUGCUCUUUGCAGCCCUCAGUGGAUGCUUCUAUUUGAGAUAGUAUCUUACCUGGUGAGACACUUGGGAACUCAAAUUACAUUUGCAAUGUCUGGUGCUGCAGCAUGUGACCACCUCCUAGAAUAUCCUACCUAGAGCCUCACACACCAGAUACAUAGAUUAGUGUCAAACAGUGGGCAGUUCUUUCUCAUACUGGUAUUGGGGGAAGAGGCUAACAUCCACCAAAGAGGCUGACAGUGUUAGAACAUGUCUUUUAUAGUAUUAUGGGCUUCAUGAAACAAUUCUCAAUGUAUCCCCCAAACUGUAAUAAGAUAUUGUAAUGUAGUGGGAUGCUGCUAUGGGAACAGUACAAGUAAGUAAGAUACAUCUUACAUGGUAUGUACUAAGGCAGCAAGAUAUGUUACAUAGAUUCUGGCAUCACAAAUCGUUCAAAGGACUCAUUCCAUAGGAGGUGACAUUUAAACCUAACUUGGAGACCACGUACAUGCAUAAUAUCUCUUGAUCUUCUGAAUCUCAUUCAAUGCUUGGGAGCUCAGUCCCACUGUAGUUAGUCGUAUCAAAGAGGGAAGAAUUUGUAAAAGGACAAAUGUUUGACUCCAAGUAAGAAAGUAAAAGAGAUACUCUCACAGCACAAUUCAGUUACUAGCUACCGAAGUCAAUGGAACUCUUUCUUCGUCUGUGGUGCUAAUGUCCCUAUCUAAUCCCCCCACAGAAGCACAUUCUACCUGGGCUCCCUGCCUGAUCACAACUUGAUUAUGGCAAUGAGGAGCCUCAGAUGAAGCAGGGGAGGGUCCAAGAGACAGGCUAGGGCUCUGUAGUCCAUCUGUGGCAAAGAACUCAUGCUAUCCAUUUGCUGCUGAGGACGGGUAGUAAAAGUCCCGUAGAGCUAACAAUAGUGGAGCCAGCAGAGCUUCUGUCUUUCUUGUUUCUAGGAAGUAAUGUGGUACCAUGUCAUCUCAUCAUCAUUCCUUCAUUAAUUGAAGCAUUUUUUUUUUCAUUUAAUAAACAUAUGUUAAGUGCUUGACCUGGGCGGGGCAGUAUGAGUGUAACUUCAAGAA